rnacentral:rRNA from 1 species
AUCUGGAGAGGAUGCUUCUGGCGCGGCGCCUUCCGAGUUCCCUGGAACGGGACGCCGGAGAGGGUGAGAGCCCCGUACGGUCGGACGCCUAGCCUGUGUGAAGCUCCUUCGACGAGUCGAGUAGUUUGGGAAUGCUGCUCAAAAUGGGAGGUAAAUUUCUUCUAAAGCUAAAUACCGGCCAGAGACCGAUAGCGCACAAGUAGAGUGAUCGAAAGAUGAAAAGCACUUUGAAAAGAGGGUCAAACAGUACGUGAAAUUGUUGAAAGGGAAGCGCCCGUGGCCAGACUUGUGCCCGGCGGACCACCCGGCGCCCCAGCGCCGGUGCACUCCGUCGGGCGCAGGCCAGCAUCGGUUUUCCCAGGGGGAUAAAGGCGGCGGGAACGUGGCUCCUCCGGGAGCGUUAUAGCCCGCCGUGCCAUGCCUCUGGGGGGACCGAGGACCGCGCAUCUGCAAGGAUGCUGGCGUAAUGGCCACCGGCGACCCGUCUUGAAACACGGACCAAGGAGUCAAGCAUUGGGGCGAGUGUCUGGGUGUCAAACCCGCACGCGAAAUGAAAGUGAACGCAGGUGAGAGCUUCGGCGCAUCAUCGACCGAUCCUGAUGUUCUCGGAUGGAUUUGAGUAAGAGCCUUACCGCUUGGACCCGAAAGAUGGUGAACUAUGCCUGUAUAGGGUGAAGCCAGAGGAAACUCUGGUGGAGG